GUGGGGGUAAAGUAAAAAUUUCAUAAAUGGGAAGAGCAUCCCUUUCUCGGACGAUAUAAUUUCUUUCCCUCUCUUCCUCUCUUUCACUCUCUCCAAUUUCUCCGAUCAUGCCACGGAAGACUUCAAGGCAAAAUGUGGCAUCAUGUGUCAUUGACAGUAAAAAAGAGAACCUUUAAAAGAGUUCAGUUACAGAAAGCUUGGUUUGGAUCAAAUUCAAGUCAAAGUUGCAGCAUGCCCUGAAGAGAAAUCCAAUGGUUUUCAAUAAGAGAGCAUGCAAUGGUGUUGUGAGUUGCUUGAACUUCAUCCAUGCCUUUUAUGCUGCGGCUUGUUUGAUGGAGAGGUUAAGCGUUUGAUUCAGUCAUCUUUGGAUAUCUCUAACCAGAUUAAGAAGACUCCCUCACAGUACUUGACAAGUAGCUGUUACCUAUGUAGAUCUUUUGCUUCUAUUAUAUCAAGUUCAUGCUUUCACACUUGCGGAUCAAUGCAUUUGGAGGUCUACAUAGGAGAUGAUUGAAAGACUUCAAGCGUCUUUCUCUCUUUUUAUCCUCUAUGUGUGCUAUUUGCACAUUCUGUUGGAUGUGAUAUUUCUGAGCUUGUCUAAUAAGGUUGCUGCCCUUAACAUUGUAUUUUUUAUAACGACCUUUAUGUCAAGAUGUAUGCCAGUUGCAGGUGAGUGAAAUUAAUCCUUGAUGUUGCUUUAUGCUUUGUCUAAUUGGUUCAAGAAUUUAUCAUAAAUGAAGUCAGUCUAUGGUUCUUGUAUCUUUAUAUUGCUGUAUCUAGUCUCUCUGUCAACUUUAUAACGGAUGACAGUGAAUUUGUAUUUUUGAGCGUGGCAAGGCUAUUUCGUUUUGCACUGAAGCUAUAUUUUUCAAUUCAGCCUUGAUAGAAUUUUUCCUAGAAUUUGUUGCUUGGUCUAAAUGAAGUCAGUCUAUGGUUCUUGUAUCUUUAUAUUGCUAUUUGGUUCUAUUGAACUAUAUGUAUUUAUGUAUUAGUAGUGAUUAGUUGUAACUAAUACAUUAGUUAGUUAGAAGUAGUUGUGGCAUUAGGUGAGACACACGUGUGUCUAUAUAUACAUGUACAUAUCUGGAACCUUCUACAUAUAAUGUGAAUAUACAGUACAUUUUCCAUCUCUCAAAUAUCUGUAGCUCUCUUUCUCAUCCGUUGUCAUGGAGCUCAUCACAGAACUCCAUUGUUGCUUACCUUGAGCUCUCAUCAUCUUGACAUGGCAUCAGAAUUGGAAGAUCGUUACGAGCAAACUAAUGGUGCUAGACUGUUUCAAAUCCAGAAAUAGAUAAAUGAUCUGACUCAGGGAGCUCUCGAUAUCACGAAUUAUUACACCAAAAUGAAGAAACUUUGGAAAGAAUUGAGUAAUCUGAGUAUGAAAGCACAGUGCAAUUGCCAGUGUAAUUGUGGUGCCAAGGAAAAAUUAUACAAGGCAGAGCAGGAUAGGCGCUUGAUCCAAUUUCUUAUGGGACUAUACUGAAACUUUCUCACUUCUUGUGAAGUUAACUACAGUUAGGGCCCUUAUUGCCACUGCAGUAAAGAGGAAGUGGAUCAUUUCUCAACUUGAUGUCAAUAGCGCAUUCCUCCAUGGGGACUUGCAUGAGGAAGUCUACAUGGAAAUUCCCCCGGGCCUUGAGGUGCCCACUCCAGGUGUUGUUUGUAGACUGAACAAAUCUCUCUAUGGGUUGAAGCAAGCUAGUAGGCAAUGGUAUGCCAAGCUAGCCGAGGCAUUAUACUCCAGAGCCUAUGUGCAUUCCCUCCAUGAUUAUUCCUUAUUUUGCAAAAGAACAGACUCCUCCACUAUGUACAUAGCUGUCUAUGUUGAUGAUGUGCUUAUCACAGGGACAGACAUGGAGGAGGUCAAUCAGUUGAAAAGCUUCCUACAUAACACCUUCAAAAUCAAAGAUCUUGGCAGAUUACACUACUUUCUGGGCUUAGAGGUUCUUUAUAAAACUGAUGGGGUUCUCAUCUCACUAAGGAAGUAUGCUCUUGAUCUUCUCAAAGAAUAUGACUGUAUGUCCUACAGUGGACUGUCAUCCCCCCUUGAUCCCUCUGUUAAGUUGCAGGCUUAGGUUGGUGCUGUCUUGAAUGACCCUAAAUAUUAUAGGAAGCUCGUUGGAAAGCUGAACUUCCUUACUAAUACCAGGUUGGACAUUGCUUAUGGAGUCCAACACCUUAGCCAAUUUAUGCAAGACCCCAGAGAACCUCAUCUUAAGGCUGCUUUUCACUUGUUACGAUAUCUGAAAAGUGAUCCUACACUGGAAAUCUUCUUCUCUAAUGAUCCAGACUGCACUAUCCAGGCCUACUGUGACUCCGAUUGGGUUGCUUGUUCAGACUCCAGAAAGUCAGUCAGUGGCUACAUAGUUCUCUUGGGAGAUAGUCCCAUAAGUUGGAAGUCCAAGAAACAAGAAACUGUCUCCCUUUCUUCAGCCGAGGCAGAGUAUAGAUCUCUCCGAAAUGUUGUUGGUGAACUCACUUGGUUGUGCAGAUUACUCGAGGAGCUAGCUGUCCCAUUUCCAAAGCCUGUCACUGUCUUUUGUGAUAGCCAAUGAGCUCUCCAUAUAGCUAGAAAUUCUGUUUUCCAUGAACGGACCAAGCACAUUGAAGUGGAUUGUCAUUUUGUACGAGCCAAACUUCAAGAAGGGUUGAUCAAUUUGACUUAUGUUCCUACUCAUGCUCAAUUGGCAGACAUCCUCACCAAAGCCUUGACUGGAGUUGAACAUUGUGGGGUUCUCAGCAAGUUGUCAGUGCAGUCCUCACCUCCAACUUGAGGGGGUGUAUUGAACUAUAUGUAUUUAUGUAUUAGUAGUGAUUAGUUGUAACUAAUACAUUAGUUAGUUAGAAGUAGUUGUGGCAUGAGGUGAGACACACGUGUGUCUAUAUAUACAUGUACAUAUCUGGAACCUUCUACAUAUAAUGUGAAUAUACAAUACAUUUUCCAUCUCUCAAA